UACGUAGGGGGCAAGCGUUGUCCGGAAUCAUUGGGCGUAAAGAGCGUGUAGGCGGCCCGAUAAGUCCGCUGUGAAAGUCCAGGGCUCAACCCUGGAAUGCCGGUGGAUACUGUCGGGCUCGAAUCCGGAAGAGGUGAGUGGAAUUCCCGGUGUAGCGGUGAAAUGCGCAGAUAUCGGGAGGAACACCCGUAGCGAAGGCGGCACUCUGGGCCGGAACUGACGCUGAGGAGCGAAAGCGUGGGGAGCAAACAGG
rnacentral:rRNA from 1 species